rnacentral:rRNA from 1 species
UACAGAGGAUGCAAGCGUUAUCCGGAAUGAUUGGGCGUAAAGGGUGCGUAGGCGGUUCGUUAAGUCUGUUGUGAAAUCCCCGGGCUCAACCUGGGAAUGGCAAUGGAUACUGGCGGGCUAGAGUGUGUCAGAGGAUGGUGGAAUUCCCGGUGUAGCGGUGAAAUGUGUAGAGAUCGGGAGGAACAUCAGUGGCGAAGGCGGCCAUCUGGGACAACACUGACGCUGAAGCACGAAAGCGUGGGGAGCAAACAGG